GACGAACGCUGGCGGCGUGCCUAAUACAUGCAAGUCGAACGCUGAAGGCGGAUCUUGCUCUUCUGGAUGAGUUGCGGCCUGGUGAGUAACGCGUAGGUAACCUGCCUCGUAGCGGGGGGUAACUAUUUGACACGAUAUCUAAUACCGCAUAACAUUAGAUGUUUCAUGACAUUUACUUAAAAGGUGCAAUUGCAUCUCUACCAGAUGGACCUGCGUUGUAUUAGCUAGUUGUUGUGGUAGCGGCUAACCAAGCCGACGAUACAUAGGCGACCUCCGAGGGUGAGAGGCCAAACUGGGACUGAGAGACGGCCAAGAAUCCUACGGGAGGCAGAAGGAGGGAAUUUUCGGCAAUGGAAGGAAGGGGGAACGAGCAACGCCGCGUGAGUGAAGGAGGUGUUCGGAUCGUAAAGCUCUGGUGGAAGAGAAGAUCGAGUGGGAGAGUGGAAAGUGCACACUGUGACGGUACCGUACCAGAAAGCGACGGCUAACUACGUG
rnacentral:rRNA from 1 species